rnacentral:rRNA from 1 species
UACGUAGGGUGCAGGCGUUAAUCGGAAUUACUGGGCGUAAAGCGUGCGCAGGCGGUCUUUUAAGUCAGAUGUGAAAUCCCCGGGCUUAACCUGGGAACUGCGUUUGAAACUGAAAGGCUAGAGUGUGGCAGAGGGGGGUGGAAUUCCACGUGUAGCAGUGAAAUGCGUAGAGAAUGUGGAGGAACACCGAUGGCGAAGGCAGCCCCUGGGCUAACACUGACGCCUCAUGCACGAAAGCGUGGGGAGCAAACAGG